GGUCGAUCAAGAACAAGCAGGGGAAAGUUCCCCACCUUCAAACCCUAAUAUCCACAAAUCUCUUAAAUUGGAGGUGCAAAUCCAAUCCAAAACGAAAUCCGAGCUUAGAAUUGUGAUCCUCAUUGCAAGAGGAUUAAGAGGCAAAGAGUCCGGAUCAUCAAGCGGACAAGCCGGAGGGAAUUCACGGGGAAAAAGUGUGCUCUAAAGUUUUUCAGGUAUUCAAGUAGAAGGAUGAUGAUCAAGCAUAAGUAUCCGAACCGAACACUCAAACAAACGCUUCCGCACUUGAUUUUU